GUGGCCUCAAAUCAGGUAGGAUUACCCGCUGAACUUAAGCAUAUCAAUAAGCGGAGGAAAAGAAACUAACAAGGAUUCCCCUAGUAACGGCGAGUGAAGCGGGAUGAGCUCAAAUUUGUAAUCUGGUGGACUCAGUUCAUCCGAGUUGUAAUCUAUAGAAGUGUUUUCCGCGCUGGACCGUGUCUAAGUCCCUUGGAACAGGGUGUCAGAGAGGGUGAGAAUCCCGUGCUUGAUACGACCACCAGUGCUAUGUGAUACACUUUCAACGAGUCGAGUUGUUUGGGAAUGCAGCUCAAAAUGGGUGGUAAAUUCCAUCUAAAGCUAAAUAUUGGCGAGAGACCGAUAGCGAACAAGUACCGUGAGGGAAAGAUGAAAAGCACUUUGGAAAGAGAGUUAAACAGUACGUGAAAUUGUUAAAAGGGAAACGAUUGAAGUCAGUCGUGCUCUCUGGGACUCAGCCGGUUCUUCCGGUGUACUUCCCAGUGAGCGGGUCAACAUCAGUUUAGAUCGCUGGAUAAAGGUAUUAGGAAGGUGGCUCCCUCGGGAGUGUUAUAGCCUAGUAUCGCAUACAGUGGUUUAGACUGAGGAACGCAGCUCGCCUUUAUGGCCGGGGUUCGCCCACGUCCGAGC
rnacentral:rRNA from 1 species